rnacentral:misc_RNA from 1 species
CAGAGUUCAUGCCCUUCGGGGUAGACCUCCCACCCUGUUUAUAUACUAUUGUUGCUUUGGCAGGCUGCCCUCACCAUGGGGCGUCCGGGUUCCGCCCGCGUCUCGCCUGCCAAAAGCCCCCUAAUUCUGUGUUCUGUGUCGUCUGAGUACUAUAUAAUAGUUA